rnacentral:rRNA from 1 species
CAGUAGCCGCGGUAAUACGUAGGGUGCAAGCGUUAAUCGGAAUUACUGGGCGUAAAGCGUGCGCAGGCGGUUUGUUAAGACAGAUGUGAAAUCCCCGGGCUCAACCUGGGAACUGCAUUUGUGACUGGCAAGCUAGAGUGUGGCAGAGGGGGGUGGAAUUCCGCGUGUAGCAGUGAAAUGCGUAGAUAUGCGGAGGAACACCGAUGGCGAAGGCAAUCCCCUGGACCUGUACUGACGCUCAUGCACGAAAGCGUGGGGAGCAAACAGGAUUAGAUACCCCCGUAGUCCCUGUCUCUUAUAC